rnacentral:SRP_RNA from 2 species
GCUGGGCGUGGUGACGGGCGCCUGUAGUCCCAGCUACUCAGGAGGCUGAGGCAGGAGAAUUGCUUGAGCUCAGGAGGUGGAGGUUGGAGUGAGCCGAGACUGUGCCACUGCACUCCAGCCUGGAUGACAGAGCGAGACUCCAUUUCAAAAAGUAAAAAAAAAUUAAAAAUUUAAAAUUUAAUUUUUUUUUUGACGGAAUCUCGCUCUGUCGCCCAGGCUGGAGUGCGGUGGCACGGUCUCGGCUCACUGCAAGCUCCGCCUCCCGGGUUCACGCCAUUCUCCUGCCUCAG